rnacentral:sRNA from 1 species
UUAAUCAAAAACAAAAUCUUUUAAUGACGUCAUUAAGGUUACCAAAAUCAUUUAACGACAAUAUUCAUUUCUUAAUUAUAUGGCUUAUCAGAUCUAAAGACGGGUCAUCAAAGAUUUCCUAAACUGAAGCAAAAUAUACCGAAUAUUCAAAUAUCUAUCUGUUACCAAAUUAGAAACAAAUAAGUUAAUAAGUCAAUAACUAUUUGGAGGGACGGGUUUUUGAAUCAACAUUAAUAAAAAAGUAAAAUAUAAUUAAUCCACCGUUUCAAUACGGGUAAAAUCUUUAAUUUAUUAUUUUGUAAGACCACUAAUAUUAAACAUAUCAAAUCAAUCUAAUUUAUAAAAG